rnacentral:pre_miRNA from 2 species
UUUGAAGUAGAGAGAAUAGUUGCUGUGCUAUAUGUCCUUCGACUCUAUAUAUCACAGUGGCUGUUCUUUUUGUACCUAAA